AAACGCCCCCCUUUGCUCCUGACAUUAUGUUCAACCAUUGACCUCUGCACACCUAACACAAGGUUGUGGCAAGCUGCUUCUCCUAGAUUCAAUCCACUGAAGACUCAAAGAUCAUCAAAAGGCCAGGGAAAACCAGAGUACCAAGGACAACAUCCACCUGUAAAGCAAAAAUAAAGUAUAUCAAACAGG